AAUGUAAUUAUCUUAUAUAUCUAUUGGUUGAAUAACAAAAAUUUUAUAAGUAUUAUUAAAUCAGUUUCUCUAUAUUUACAUAUACAUAUAUAUUGAGAAGGUAUAGUUAACUCAUAUGAUGACUAUAUCCAGUCAUAUAUGAUAUACCUUUGCUGAGAUUGGAGAGUGUUUUAGCCAGCACGAUAUAGAAGGAUGCACCACCACCAAGUUCUAUGUCAAAAUCGACACCAUCCAGCACAACA